CCGCGCCCCCGGCUCCGCGCGCCCCAGGCCCCUGAGGCCGUCUCCCCACUCUGCGCGCCCUCGGAUGCGGGGGUGCGGGCAGCCCUGCGCUGCCCGCCGCCGAACCUGCACCCUCCCUGGGAAGGAAGCCUAGCUCCAGCCGCGUGGUUUCCGCGCCGAAGUGCGAUGUGGGUCGCCGCUCUGGAGUCCCCUGCUCCCAGGCUGGUCUGGAAGGGUGGCAGUUGCUGGAGUACCAGGGUACCGUGUGAACAAUGUGGUAGACAGCCUUUAAGAUAUGCCCCUGCCAAUGAUCUCUGCCUCCAGAUGGAAUCUGCCACCCAGGCUGGAGUGCAAUGGUAUGAUCUUGGCUCACUGCAAUUGCCACCUCCCAGGUUCAAGUGAUUCUCCUGACUCAGCCUUCCCAGUAGCUGGGAUUACAAGUGCCCACCACCAGGCCCGGCUAAUUUUUGUAUUUUUAGUAGAGACGGGGGUUUCACCAUGUUGGGCAGACUGGUCUCGAACUCCUGACCUCAGGUGAUCUUCCCGCCUCGGUCUCCCAAAGUGCUGGGAUUACAGGCCUGAGCCACUGCGCCCGGCCUCAGACCAACUUUUUAAGAGAGCUUCUUUCCCAGAGCAAAGCAAAGUAUGCUUACUGUCUAUAGCUAAGAUUCUGAGCAGGGUGCUUUGGCUCACACCGAGGCUGGGGCGGGAGGAUUGCAUGAGUCCAAGAGUUCGAGGGUUGAGUGAGCUAUGAUUGCCUGGGUGAUAGAGCAAGAUGCUGAUUCAAAAAAAAAAAAAAAUUCUGGUUCCGCAAGCUUAAAGCUGUGCUCUCUUGUGAUGUGCUUUGCUGUGUAUACAGAUGUCACCUGGCCCCCUUUGCAUUGCCUUUGGGAACUGGGACUGAGGAAAGCAGCACAAGAUAAUGUCGAUAUUUUUGCUAUUGCUAUUGCUAUGAGUAAAUAAAACCUUUUGUCUCGAACACA